UACGGAGGGUGCAAACGUUGCUCGGAAUCAUUGGGCGUAAAGCGCACGUAGGCGGUUCGUUAAGUCGGAUGUGAAAGCCCUGGGCUCAACCCAGGAAGAGCAUUCGAAACUGGCGGACUGGAGUAUGGAAGAGGGUCGCGGAAUUCCCGGUGUAGAGGUGAAAUUCGUAGAUAUCGGGAGGAACACCAGUGGCGAAGGCGGCGACCUGGGCCAAUACUGACGCUGAUGUGCGAAAGCGUGGGGAGCAAACAGG
rnacentral:rRNA from 1 species